rnacentral:rRNA from 1 species
UGCCAGCCGCCGCGGUAAUACGAAGGGACCUAUGGGAAUUCGGAAUUACUGUGCUUAAAGAGUUCGUAGGUGGUUAAAAAAGUUGGUGGUGAAAUCCCAGAGCUUAACUCUGGAACUGCCAUCAAAACUUUUUAGCUAGAGUAUGAUAGAGGAAAGCAGAAUUUCUAGUGUAGAGGUGAAAUUCGUAGAUAUUAGAAAGAAUACCAAUUGCGAAGGCAGCUUUCUGGAUCAUUAAUGACACUGAGGAAAGAACGCGUGGGUAGCGAAGAGGAGUAGAUA